CGGCGGACGGGUGAGUAACGCGUGGGUAACCUGCCUCAUACAGGGGGAUAACAGUUGGAAACGGCUGCUAAUACCGCAUAAGCGCACAAUACCGCAUGGUACCGUGUGAAAAACUCCGGCGGUAUGAGAUGGACCCGCGUCUGAUUAGGUAGUUGGUGGGGUAACGGCCUACCAAGCCGACGAUCAGUAGCCGACCUGAGAGGGUGACCGGCCACAUUGGGACUGAGACACGGCCCAA
rnacentral:rRNA from 1 species